rnacentral:rRNA from 1 species
CAAUAGCGUAUAUUUAAGUUGUUGCAGUUAAAAAGCUCGUAGUUGGAUUUCGGGUGUGAACGACCGGUCCGUCUUUGAUGUGUACUGGUUGGUUGCGCCUUCUUGUCGAGGACGUGGUUCUAGCUUUCAUUAGCCGGGACACGGAGUCGGCAGCGUUACUUUGAGAAAAUUAGAGUGUUCAAAGCAGGCUAUCGCUCUGAAUACUACAGCAUGGAAUAACACGAUAGGACUCCGAGCCUAUUCUGUUGGUCUUCGGGACCGGAGUAAUGAUUAAGAGGGACAGUUGGGGGCAUUCGUAUUCCGAUGUCAGAGGUGAAAUUCUUGGAUUAUCGGAAGACGAACAUCUGCGAAAGCAUUUGCCAAGGAUGUUUUCAUUAA